UCAUGAGAAAGCUUAAUGCUUAUUCAUAGAUUUACAAUCUACCGACUAUAUUCGACCACCUCAUA
rnacentral:tRNA from 1 species